rnacentral:rRNA from 1 species
GGACUACCGGGGUAUCUAAUCCCGUUUGCUCCCCUAGCUUUCGCGCCUCAGCGUCAGAAGAGGUCCAGCACGUCGCUUUCGCCACCGGCGUUCCUUCCGAUAUCUACGCAUUUCACCGCUCCACCGGAAGUUCCACAUGCCCCUACCUCCCUCCAGACUCCCAGUAUCCAAGGCUGUUUUCCGGUUGAGCCGAAAGAUUUCACCCCGGACUUGGGAACCCGCCUACGCGCCCUUUAAGCCCAGUGAUUCCGAACAACGUUCGCACGGUUCGUCUUACCGCGGCGGCUGGCAC